rnacentral:rRNA from 1 species
UACCAGCACCCCGAGUGGUCGGGACGAUUAUUGGGCCUAAAGCAUCCGUAGCCGGUUCUGCAAGUCCCCCGUUAAAUCCAGCUGCUCAACAGAUGGGCCGCGGAGGAUACUACAGAGCUAGGAGGCAGGAGAGGCAAGCGGUACUCAGUGGGUAGGGGUAAAAUCCGUUGAUCCAUUGAAGACCACCAGUGGCGAAGGCGGCUUGCCAGAAUGCGCUCGAUGGUGAGGGAUGAAAGCUGGGGGAGCAAACCGG